ACGAACGCUGGCGGCGUGCUUAACACAUGCAAGUCGAACGGAAAGGCCCUGCUUGCAGGGUACUCGAGUGGCGAACGGGUGAGUAACACGUGGGUGAUCUGCCCUGCACUUCGGGAUAAGCCUGGGAAACUGGGUCUAAUACCGGAUAGGAGCCAUUUUUAGUGUGAUGGUUGGAAAGUUUUUUCGGUGUAGGAUGAGCUCGCGGCCUAUCAGCUUGUUGGUGGGGUAAUGGCCUACCAAGGCGGCGACGGGUAGCCGGCCUGUGAGGGUGGACGGCCACAUUGAGACUGAGAUACGGCCCAGACUCCUACGGGAGGCAGCAGUGGGGAAUAUUGCACAAUGGGCGCAAGCCUGAUGCAGCGAGGCCGCGUGGGGGAUGACGGCCUUCGGGUUGUAAACUCCUUUCGCUAGGGACGAAGCUUUUUGUGACGGUACCUAGAUAAGAAGCACCGGCUAACUACGUG
rnacentral:rRNA from 1 species